rnacentral:rRNA from 1 species
GUGCAGCAGGCGCGAAUCUUCGGCAAUGGGGGAAACCCUGACCGAGCGACGCCGCGUGUGGGAUGAAGGCCCUUGGGUUGUAAACCACUGUCAGAGGGGAUGAAAUGCCGGAAAGUUAUCUCUCCGGUUUGACAUAGCCUCAGAGGAAGCACGGGCUAAGUUCGUGCCAGCAGCCGCGGUAAGACGAACUGUGCAAACGUUAUUCGGAAUCACUGGGCUUGAAGAGUGCGUAGGCGGUUUCGUAAGUAGGGUGUGAAAG